rnacentral:lncRNA from 1 species
AUGUACUGGAGACUCGUGAGGUUAACUGGAAGCAUGUGCUCUCCUGUCUCUCCACCCUGCUCGUGUACAAUCCAAACACCCAGCCAAGCCUCAAAGCCCCAGUGUCAGGCAGGUCAGGAUGUGGACAAGGCAGUCUCUUUGUUUGAGAGCACAGGAAGGAUAUCUGCCACAGUCAUCAUGGAGGGCUGCAUGUUCAGAAGGCCAUAUUUCCCGACCCGGUUUCUCCUUGCCCUCCUAACUCCACGUGUGAGUUGUCUGGCCAGGAUCUUCCACACGCUGAGUAUUGUGUUCCCUGAAUGUGCUGAGGAACUGGUUGGCCAGACAAUCAUCAAGCUUCAUGUAGAUGAGUCGACUUCCCCUGAGCUGCACAAUAAAGUCGGAAGGAAUGCCAGGAACUGCCAACUCUCCUCCUGUCUCUGCAUUUCUCCUUCUCUUCUACUGUUUUUCUCCUCUGCUCUGUCUCAACUAUUUAGUUUCCUACUCUAUUUGUCUGUCGUUCUAGUUAUUUCUGAUGCAACACUCACUGUUUCGGUCUCUCACACUGUCUGUCUGUCCUGUCUAUGUUCAGGUGGAGAACAUGAUCCUCAGGAGCUUCUGCCAGAGACUUUUGGACGCCUCCGGAAAUAA